GCACAAUUGCGACGCAUUCUCAGGCCAAGCGACUGGUGGCAACAAUGUGAAAUUAUGACGCACGCAGCGCCAUGGCUGCGUUAGGCCAACACGAAAACGUGAGAAAAAUGAUGCGGUGACAACGAACCCCCUACUUCACGAUGUCAGGAGAGCAGAGGCGCAUGUUGGAAGCAAACUUCGUGGCGCUCCAGGAAUUUCUCUUUUGAAUUGGGCCUAGCAUAGAGAACUAACUGCAUUAUUCUCAGGACAUAUACGCUUGCUUGCCUUUAAAAUUACGACCAAUAUGAUUGAACGGCUAAUGAAGCCUGUAUAGAGACCUACCUGCACCGUCGCAAUGAGGGCGCUGCGCACGGUGUUUGGUUAACAGCAAAGCUGUGUAAGCUUGGAGCUGCAUGCGGAACUGUUUGUCGACCGCACCACCCUGGCGACGCUUGGGAGAGUGAAGCGAUGAGAAGUCGGGCAUAAUGUUCAAUGCGAUGACAGAAAAAAAGCUGCCCAGGCGCCUGCACCACUGCGUUUGUGUGCCGGUUUGACUCGCAUAUCUGAACAGUCGCCUGGGCUACCGUUCGUCAUCCAUGAGUCGCAGGCGUCAUUUGGCCAUCGGCGGGUGGUGCGCACGAACCUUGAUGCGAGAGUCCACCCCGAGUGUUUCGACGUUCGCCUUGACGCCGCACAAGUAAGCAGU